rnacentral:rRNA from 1 species
UACAGAGGGUGCGAGCGUUAAUCGGAAUUACUGGGCGUAAAGCGUGCGUAGACGGUCAUGUAAGUCGGGUGUGAAAUCCCCGGGCUCAACCUGGGAAUUGCAUUCGAGACUGUGUGGCUAGGAUGCGGAAGAGGGAAGCGGAAUUUCCGGUGUAGCGGUGAAAUGCGUAGAUAUCGGAAGGAACACCAGUGGCGAAAGCGGCUUCCUGGUCCAGCAUCGACGUUCAGGCACGAAAGCGUGGGGAGCAAACAGG